rnacentral:rRNA from 1 species
UGAAGAGUUUGAUCCUGGCUCAGAUUGAACGCUGGCGGCAUGCCUUACACAUGCAAGUCGAACGGCAGCACGGGUGCUUGCACCUGGUGGCGAGUGGCGAACGGGUGAGUAAUACAUCGGAACAUGUCCUGUAGUGGGGGAUAGCCCGGCGAAAGCCGGAUUAAUACCGCAUACGAUCUACGGAUGAAAGCGGGGGACCUUCGGGCCUCGCGCUAUAGGGUUGGCCGAUGGCUGAUUAGCUAGUUGGUGGGGUAAAGGCCUACCAAGGCGACGAUCAGUAGCUGGUCUGAGAGGACGACCAGCCACACUGGGACUGAGACACGGCCCAGACUCCUACGGGAGGCAGCAGUGGGGAAUUUUGGACAAUGGGCGAAAGCCUGAUCCAGCAAUGCCGCGUGUGUGAAGAAGGCCUUCGGGUUGUAAAGCACUUUUGUCCGGAAAGAAAUCCUUGGCUCUAAUACAGUCGGGGGAUGACGGUACCGGAAGAAUAAGCACCGGCUAACUACGUGCCAGCAGCCGCGGUAAUACGUAGGGUGCGAGCGUUAAUCGGAAUUACUGGGCGUAAAGCGUGCGCAGGCGGUUUGCUAAGACCGAUGUGAAAUCCCCGGGCUCAACCUGGGAACUGCAUUGGUGACUGGCAGGCUAGAGUAUGGCAGAGGGGGGUAGAAUUCCACGUGUAGCAGUGAAAUGCGUAGAGAUGUGGAGGAAUACCGAUGGCGAAGGCAGCCCCCUGGGCCAAUACUGACGCUCAUGCACGAAAGCGUGGGGAGCAAACAGGAUUAGAUACCCUGGUAGUCCACGCCCUAAACGAUGUCAACUAGUUGUUGGGGAUUCAUUUCCUUAGUAACGUAGCUAACGCGUGAAGUUGACCGCCUGGGGAGUACGGUCGCAAGAUUAAAACUCAAAGGAAUUGACGGGGACCCGCACAAGCGGUGGAUGAUGUGGAUUAAUUCGAUGCAACGCGAAAAACCUUACCUACCCUUGACAUGGUCGGAAUCCUGCCGAGAGGUGGGAGUGCUCGAAAGAGAACCGGCGCACAGGUGCUGCAUGGCUGUCGCCAGCUCGUGUCGUGAGAUGUUGGGUUAAGUCCCGCAACGAGCGCAACCCUUGUCCUUAGUUGCUACGCAAGAGCACUCUAAGGAGACUGCCGGUGACAAACCGGAGGAAGGUGGGGAUGACGUCAAGUCCUCAUGGCCCUUAUGGGUAGGGCUUCACACGUCAUACAAUGGUCGGAACAGAGGGUUGCCAACCCGCGAGGGGGAGCUAAUCCCAGAAAACCGAUCGUAGUCCGGAUUGCACUCUGCAACUCGAGUGCAUGAAGCUGGAAUCGCUAGUAAUCGCGGAUCAGCAUGCCGCGGUGAAUACGUUCCCGGGUCUUGUACACACCGCCCGUCACACCAUGGGAGUGGGUUUUACCAGAAGUGGCUAGUCUAACCGCAAGGAGGACGGUCACCACGGUAGGAUUCAUGACUGGGGUGAAGUCGUAACAAGGUAGCCGUAUCGGAAGGUGCGGCUGGAUCACCUCCUUU